UUAAGCGACUAAGCGUACACGGUGGAUGCCCUGGCAGUCAGAGGCGAUGAAGGACGUGCUAAUCUGCGAAAAGCGCCGGCGAGGUGAUAUGAACCCUUGACCCGGCGAUGUCCGAAUGGGGAAACCCAGUGUGAUUCGUCACACUAUCGUUAACUGAAUACAUAGGUUAACGAGGCGAACCGGGGGAACUGAAACAUCUAAGUACCCCGAGGAAAAGAAAUCAACCGAGAUUCCCCCAGUAGCGGCGAGCGAACGGGGAGCAGCCCAGAGUCUGAAUCAGCUUGUGUGUUAGUGGAAGCGUCUGGAAAGUCGCACGGUACAGGGUGAAAGUCCCGUACACGAAAAUGCACAGGCUGUGAACUCGAAGAGUAGGGCGGGACACGUGGUAUCCUGUCUGAAUAUGGGGGGACCAUCCUCCAAGGCUAAAUACUCCUGACUGACCGAUAGUGAACCAGUACCGUGAGGGAAAGGCGAAAAGAACCCCGGCGAGGGGAGUGAAAAAGAACCUGAAACCGUGUACGUACAAGCAGUGGGAGCACCUUCGUGGUGUGACUGCGUACCUUUUGUAUAAUGGGUCAGCGACUUAUAUUCUGUAGCAAGGUUAACCGUAUAGGGGAGCCGAAGGGAAACCGAGUCUUAACUGGGCGUUAAGUUGCAGGGUAUAGACCCGAAACCCGGUGAUCUAGCCAUGGGCAGGUUGAAGGUUGGGUAACACUAACUGGAGGACCGAACCGACUAAUGUUGAAAAAUUAGCGGAUGACCUGUGGCUGGGGGUGAAAGGCCAAUCAAACCGGGAGAUAGCUGGUUCUCCCCGAAAGCUAUUUAGGUAGCGCCUCGUGAACUCAUCUUCGGGGGUAGAGCACUGUUUCGGCUAGGGGGCCAUCCCGGCUUACCAACCCGAUGCAAACUACGAAUACCGAAGAAUGUUAUCACGGGAGACACACGGCGGGUGCUAACGUCCGUCGUGAAGAGGGAAACAACCCAGACCGCCAGCUAAGGUCCCAAAGUCAUGGUUAAGUGGGAAACGAUGUGGGAAGGCCCAGACAGCCAGGAUGUUGGCUUAGAAGCAGCCAUCAUUUAAAGAAAGCGUAAUAGCUCACUGGUCGAGUCGGCCUGCGCGGAAGAUGUAACGGGGCUAAACCAUGCACCGAAGCUGCGGCAGCGACGCUUAUGCGUUGUUGGGUAGGGGAGCGUUCUGUAAGCCGUUGAAGGUGGCCUGUGAGGGUUGCUGGAGGUAUCAGAAGUGCGAAUGCUGACAUAAGUAACGAUAAAGCGGGUGAAAAGCCCGCUCGCCGGAAGACCAAGGGUUCCUGUCCAACGUUAAUCGGGGCAGGGUGAGUCGACCCCUAAGGCGAGGCCGAAAGGCGUAGUCGAUGGGAAACAGGUUAAUAUUCCUGUACUUGGUGUUACUGCGAAGGGGGGACGGAGAAGGCUAUGUUAGCCGGGCGACGGUUGUCCCGGUUUAAGCAUGUAGGCGGAGGUUCCAGGUAAAUCCGGUACCUUUUAACGCUGAGGUGUGAUGACGAGGCACUACGGUGCUGAAGUAACAAAUGCCCUGCUUCCAGGAAAAGCCUCUAAGCAUCAGGUAACAUCAAAUCGUACCCCAAACCGACACAGGUGGUCAGGUAGAGAAUACCAAGGCGCUUGAGAGAACUCGGGUGAAGGAACUAGGCAAAAUGGUGCCGUAACUUCGGGAGAAGGCACGCUGAUAUGUAGGUGAAGCCCCUGCGGGUGGAGCUGAAAUCAGUCGAAGAUACCAGCUGGCUGCAACUGUUUAUUAAAAACACAGCACUGUGCAAACACGAAAGUGGACGUAUACGGUGUGACGCCUGCCCGGUGCCGGAAGGUUAAUUGAUGGGGUUAGCGGCAACGCGAAGCUCUUGAUCGAAGCCCCGGUAAACGGCGGCCGUAACUAUAACGGUCCUAAGGUAGCGAAAUUCCUUGUCGGGUAAGUUCCGACCUGCACGAAUGGCGUAAUGAUGGCCAGGCUGUCUCCACCCGAGACUCAGUGAAAUUGAACUCGCUGUGAAGAUGCAGUGUACCCGCGGCAAGACGGAAAGACCCCGUGAACCUUUACUAUAGCUUGACACUGAACACUGGUCCUUGAUGUGUAGGAUAGGUGGGAGGCUUUGAAGCGUGGACGCCAGUCUGCGUGGAGCCGUCCUUGAAAUACCACCCUUUAAUGGCUGGUGUUCUAACGUAGACCCGUGAUCCGGGUUGCGGACAGUGUCUGGUGGGUAGUUUGACUGGGGCGGUCUCCUCCCAAAGAGUAACGGAGGAGCACGAAGGUUAGCUAAUCCUGGUCGGACAUCAGGAGGUUAGUGCAAUGGCAUAAGCUAGCUUGACUGCGAGAGUGACGGCUCGAGCAGGUGCGAAAGCAGGUCAUAGUGAUCCGGUGGUUCUGAAUGGAAGGGCCAUCGCUCAACGGAUAAAAGGUACUCCGGGGAUAACAGGCUGAUACCGCCCAAGAGUUCAUAUCGACGGCGGUGUUUGGCACCUCGAUGUCGGCUCAUCACAUCCUGGGGCUGAAGUAGGUCCCAAGGGUAUGGCUGUUCGCCAUUUAAAGUGGUACGCGAGCUGGGUUUAGAACGUCGUGAGACAGUUCGGUCCCUAUCUGCCGUGGGCGCUGGAGAAUUGAGGGGGGCUGCUCCUAGUACGAGAGGACCGGAGUGGACGCAUCACUGGUGUUCGGGUUGUCAUGCCAAUGGCACUGCCCGGUAGCUAAAUGCGGAAGAGAUAAGUGCUGAAAGCAUCUAAGCACGAAACUUGCCCCGAGAUGAGUUCUCCCUGAGACUUAAAGUCUCCUGAAGGAACGUUGAAGACGACGACGUUGAUAGGUCGGGUGUGUAAGCGCAGCGAUGCGUUGAGCUAACCGAUACUAAUGAACCGUGAGGCUUAACCUU
rnacentral:rRNA from 1 species